rnacentral:rRNA from 1 species
AUGGCAGCCACGGCCAACGCAUCCUGUCUCCCCGCCUCUCCACGCCUCCCGGCCAGCGGCGCCCGCGUCCGGAACAGGGGGAUGCUGCCAAUGGCCGCCGUUGGCUGCACUGCCGGACGCGGCGGGGUUCACCUGAGGAGCGCCCGGCCUCUCCUGUGCACCUCCUCAUCCGCUGCGGCAGGAGCACGGGGCAGCGGGAAGAUGGAGGACUACAACACCGCCAUGAAGCGGAUGAUGCGGAACCCAUACGAGUACCACCACGACCUUGGUAUGAAUUAUGCUGUCAUAAGUGAUAGCUUGAUUGUUGGCUCGCAACCUCAGAAGCCUGACGAUAUUGAUCACUUGAAAAAUGAGGAAAAUGUAGCCUAUAUUCUUUGUCUACAGCAGGACAAGGAUAUCGAAUACUGGGGCAUUGAUUUUGAAGCUGUUGUCACUAGGUGCAAAGAACUUGGCAUUCAGCAUAUGAGAAGACCAGCAGUAGACUUCGAUCCAGAUUCGCUGAGGAAACAGUUACCGAAAGCAGUUUCCGCACUAGAAUGGGCUAUAUCACAAGGAAAAGGGCGAGUUUACAUCCAUUGCACUGCUGGACUUGGUAGAGCGCCUGCGGUUGCAAUUUCUUACAUGUUCUGGUUCGAGAAUAUGGACCUAAAUACGGCUUAUGACAAGCUAACCUCCAUAAGACCGUGUGGACCGAGUAAGAAAGCUAUCCGCUCUGCAACCUAUGAUCUAGCUAAGAGUGAUCCAAAUAAAGAAGCUUUUGAGACCCUGCCGGAGCGUGCUUUCGAGGGAAUAUCAGUUUCAGAGAGGAAGUUAAUACAAGACCGUGUCCGUUCCCUCCACAAGGCAUGA